rnacentral:rRNA from 1 species
UACGUAGGGGGCAAGCGUUGUCCGGAAUCAUUGGGCGUAAAGAGCGCGUAGGCGGCCCUGUAAGUCCGCCGUGAAAGUCAAGGGCUCAACCCUUGGAUGCCGGUGGAUACUGCAGGGCUAGAGUCCGGAAGAGGCGAGUGGAAUUCCUGGUGUAGCGGUGAAAUGCGCAGAUAUCAGGAGGAACACCGAUGGCGAAGGCAGCUCGCUGGGACGGUACUGACGCUGAGGCGCGAAAGCGUGGGGAGCGAACAGG